rnacentral:rRNA from 1 species
AUUGAACGCUGGCGGCAGGCCUAACACAUGCAAGUCGAGCGGAUGAAGGGAGCUUGCUCCUGGAUUCAGCGGCGGACGGGUGAGUAAUGCCUAGGAAUCUGCCUGGUAGUGGGGGAUAACGUCCGGAAACGGGCGCUAAUACCGCAUACGUCCUGAGGGAGAAAGUGGGGGAUCUUCGGACAUCACGCUAUCAGAUGAGCCUAGGUCGGAUUAGCUAGUUGGUGGGGUAAAGGCCUACCAAGGCGACGAUCCGUAACUGGUCUGAGAGGAUGAUCAGUCACACUGGAACUGAGACACGGUCCAGACUCCUACGGGAGGCAGCAGUGGGGAAUAUUGGACAAUGGGCGAAAGCCUGAUCCAGCCAUGCCGCGUGUGUGAAGAAGGUCUUCGGAUUGUAAAGCACUUUAAGUUGGGAGGAAGGGCAGUAAGUUAAUACCUUGCUGUUUUGACGGUACCAAAAGAAUAAGCACCGGCUAACUUCGUG